GACGAACGCUGGCGGCGUGCUUAACACAUGCAAGUCGAGCGGAGCGGCGAACGGGCGCGUAACGCGUGAGUAACUGCCCCCCUCCCUGGGAUAACAGUUGGCAACGGCUGCUAAUACCGGAUAGUGGGGGAUGACUGGCGCCCUAUCAGAUUGUUGGUGGGGUAGUGGCCGACCAAGGCGACGACGGGUAGCCGGCCUGAGGGGGCGGCCGGCCACAUUGGGCUGAGAUACGGCCCAAACUCCUACGGGAGGCAGCAGUGGGGAAUAUGGCGCAGUGGUGGAAAGCCUGAUGCAGCAACGCCGCGUGCGGAAUGACGGCCUUCGGGUUGUAAACCGCUUUCAGCCAUGACGCGGUAGUUGCAGAAGAAGCACCGGCUAACUACGUGCCAGCAGCCGCGGUAAUAC
rnacentral:rRNA from 1 species